rnacentral:lncRNA from 1 species
GAUUUUUCUCUGUUUCUAUGCUCUGCACUAGUAAGCUGGUUUAGUAAUAGAUAUGUAAAGCCUUUGGUUUUGGGGGAGGAGCUGGGGAAGCAGCCCCUCUGCCUCUGGAACUGCCCUUAUUGCCUGGCUCUUUCUGAUUCCUGAUGCAAAUCUAGUCGAGUUGCAUCUGAUUCUUCGGAAUGAACUAAGGAACUUUGUAGCAAAAAAUAACAUAUUUCAGAUCUUAAAGGUCUGCCAUGUUGGAAACAUUCAGAUUAAUGUUUGUGAAUGGAUUUUCUUUUUCUUAAACUAUUAGGAGAGUCUCAAUUAUUUCCUGUAUUUAGAAAUACACCUCAGCCACUGUAACCAUAAAUUGGGGACAUUUGGACAGCUUUCCUCUGAAGACACUUUGACAACAUGAUGAAAGACAUCAUCAUCUAAUGAUGGAAGUAGGGUAAAGAGACAAAAUUACAGAUUCUACUAUACAAAUCAAAAUUUUUAAUUGUGCACAACUCGGCCCACUUUAUUAGGAUCCAGUCAGAAGUACCAUACUAGAGCUGAAAUUAUAAGGUUAAAGAUCCACAAUGUUUGUCUGGAACUAAAGGAAUUCUGCCCCUCUCUGCUUCAGUGCCAUCUGCUGGCUACAGCCUUCUUGGUUAUAUAGAAGAAAAAAGUCACUACAGUGGCCUUCUAGAAGAUGAAGUAGAGAAGCAAGCCAAAAAAAUCUUGAGUCAGGAUAGACUACUUGAGAAAACAGAAGUGGGGAUGUGGUGGGGAUGGAAAAUAUACAAAAACAACAAAAAUGGAAGAUAUACAGAAACUUAAGACUGGCCAGACAGCCACUCAGAUUAAAUAGGCAUGCACCUACACACAAACCCCCUUCCCAAAAGAACUGUUCUGGAACACUCAAAACUGAACCAAAACAGAAAUCCAUAUUGUCUAGGCCUUUAAAACUUUCAACUUUUGUCUAAAACAGUAACAGCACUAGAAUCAUCACUAGCAACUGAAGUUAGUUUUUGUACCACAACUGGAUAAAGAUCCCAAAUCAUUCUAACCAGCUCCUAAACAUAUUCACAUUCACUAAUCGAGACUGAAUCAUAAAGUUCAUCUUCAACUCAAAAAAUUCUUUCGUGCUUACUAUGAAACUGCACUAUCCUCACUGACCUUCUGAUUGAUUGUUC